rnacentral:rRNA from 1 species
AUUGAACGCUGGCGGCAUGCCUUACACAUGCAAGUCGAACGGCAGCACGGGUGCUUGCACCUGGUGGCGAGUGGCGAACGGGUGAGUAAUACAUCGGAACAUGUCCUGUAGUGGGGGAUAGCCCGGCGAAAGCCGGAUUAAUACCGCAUACGAUCUACGGAUGAAAGCGGGGGCCCUUCGGGCCUCGCGCUAUAGGGUUGGCCGAUAGCUGAUUAGCUAGUUGGUGGGGUAAGGCCUACCAAGGCGACGAUCAGUAGCUGGUCUGAGAGGACGACCAGCCACACUGGGACUGAGACACGGCCCAGACUCCUACGGGAGGCAGCAGUGGGGAAUUUUGGACAAUGGGCGAAAGCCUGAUCCAGCAAUGCCGCGUGUGUGAAGAAGGCCUUCGGGUUGUAAAGCACUUUUGUCCGGAAAGAAAUCCUUGGCUCUAAUACAGUCGGGGGAUGACGGUACCGGAAGAAUAAGCACCGGCUAACUACGUG